UCCCUGAUGCCUCAGAUGUUAAAGAAUCUGCCUGCAAUGUAGGAGACCUGGGUUCGAUUCCUGGGUCAGAGAG
rnacentral:tRNA from 1 species